rnacentral:misc_RNA from 1 species
UCCGGUUUGACACCGGCAGUCCCGUUAGAGUGCCCAGCAUGACCUGAUGGCAACUAACGGCAGGGGUUUCGCUCGUUAAGGGACUUAACCCGACACUUCACAGCACGAGCUGACGACAGCCAUGCAGCACCUGUGCACGUUCCACCCGGAAGGGUGUCACUCCGCUUUCACAGAGCUAAUCCGUGCAUGUCAAACCCAGGAUAAGGUUCUUCGCGUUGCUUCGAAUUAAGCCACAUGCUCCACCGCUUGUGUGAGCCCCCGUCAAUUCCUUUGAGUUUUAGCCUUGCGACCGUACUCCCCAGGCGGUGCACUUAUUAGUUUUCCUUCGGCCCCGAUGAUGUCAGAAUCUCCGAGACCUAGUGCACAUCGUUUACGGCGUGGACUAC